rnacentral:lncRNA from 1 species
UUAUUUUAAAUAUAUUUAUUUUUUUGGAUUUGGCGUUAUUAAUGAUAUGAGAGAUAAGGUUAUGCAGUGUUUUCCAAACUGUGGGACACGCUAGUGUAUGGCCGGGGGGCGCGCAAGAAUGAACAAAAACAUAAUUAUUGAGACAAAAAAAUAAAUUCAAAUUGUGACCGAAAAAAACGAAUCAGCAAAAGGGUUAUAAAUAAAUGUAUCUAUGUCUACAGAAUCUUUCUGCUGUAGCUGUUUUAAAGACGAAAUAUCUAUCCGGUUUAGUGAUUUAAAAAGAAUUGGGUGUAGCGCUAUCUUCACUGCCCCUGAUUUGAGCGAGUUUCUGCUGAAAAACAUGCCCAUCCAUCGCAUUAAAUAUCAUCUUGUAUUAAAUUAUAUUUCGUUUUAUUCCAAGAUUUAUUUAAUUGUAUUAAAAAAUAUCACGCCAG